AGUCGAACGGCAGCACGGGGGCAACCCUGGUGGCGAGUGGCGAACGGGUGAGUAAUACAUCGGAACGUGUCCUGUAGUGGGGGAUAGCCCGGCGAAAGCCGGAUUAAUACCGCAUACGCUCUACGGAGGAAAGGGGGGGAUCUCAGGACCUCCCGCUACAGGGGCGGCCGAUGGCAGAUUAGCUAGUUGGUGGGGUAAAGGCCUACCAAGGCGACGAUCUGUAGCUGGUCUGAGAGGACGACCAGCCACACUGGGACUGAGACACGGCCCAGACUCCUACGGGAGGCAGCAGUGGGGAAUUUUGGACAAUGGGCGAAAGCCUGAUCCAGCAAUGCCGCGUGUGUGAAGAAGGCCUUCGGGUUGUAAAGCACUUUUGUCCGGAAAGAAAACCUCCGCCCUAAUAUGGUGGGGGGAUGACGGUACCGGAAGAAUAAGCACCGGCUAACUACGUGCCAGCAGCCGCGGUAAUACGUAGGGUGCAAGCGUUAAUCGGAAUUACUGGGCGUAAAGCGUGCGCAGGCGGUCCGCUAAGACAGAUGUGAAAUCCCCGGGCUUAACCUGGGAACUGCAUUUGUGACUGGCGGGCUAGAGUAUGGCAGAGGGGGGUAGAAUUCCACGUGUAGCAGUGAAAUGCGUAGAGAUGUGGAGGAAUACCGAUGGCGAAGGCAGCCCCCUGGGCCAAUACUGACGCUCAUGCACGAAAGCGUGGGGAGCAAACAGGAUUAGAUACCCUGGUAGUCCACGCCCUAAACGAUGUCAACUAGUUGUUGGGGAUUCAUUUCCUUAGUAACGUAGCUAACGCGUGAAGUUGACCGCCUGGGGAGUACGGUCGCAAGAUUAAAACUCAAAGGAAUUGACGGGGACCCGCACAAGCGGUGGAUGAUGUGGAUUAAUUCGAUGCAACGCGAAAAACCUUACCUACCCUUGACAUGUAUGGAACCCUGCUGAGAGGUGGGGGUGCCCGAAAGGGAGCCAUAACACAGGUGCUGCAUGGCUGUC
rnacentral:rRNA from 1 species